UACGUAGGGUGCGAGCGUUAAUCGGAAUUACUGGGCGUAAAGCGUGCGCAGGCGGUCUGUUAAGACCGAUGUGAAAAUCCCCGGGCUUAACCCUGGGAACUGCAUUGGUGACUGGCAGGCUUUGAGUGUGGCAGAGGGAGGUAGAAUUCCACGUGUAGCAGUGAAAAUGCGUAGAGAUGUGGAGGAAUACCGAUGGCGAAGGCAGCCUCCUGGGCCAACACUGACGCUCAUGCACGAAAGCGUGG
rnacentral:rRNA from 1 species